GACGGAGGAGGCAAGCGUUGUCCGGAAUUAUUGGGCGUAAAGAGCGCGUAGGCGGUUUUCCAAGUCAUAUGUGAAAACUUUAGGCUUAACCUAAAGAUUGCAUGUGAAACUGGAUAACUAGAGUACGGCAGAGGAAAGUGGAAUUCCUGGUGUAGCGGUGAAAUGCGCAGAUAUCAGGAAGAACACCAGUGGCGAAGGCGGCUUUCUAGGCCGUUACUGACGCUGAGGCGCGAAAGCUAGGGGAGCGAACAGGAUUAGAUACCCGGGUAGUCCCUGA
rnacentral:rRNA from 1 species